rnacentral:rRNA from 1 species
CCUACGGGAUGCACCAGUGAGGAAUAUUGGACAAUGGGCGAAAGCCUGAUCCAGCAAUGCCGCGUGUGUGAAGAAGGUCUUCGGAUUGCAAAGCACUUUCGACGGGUACGAUGAUGACGGUACCCGUAGAAGAAGCCCCGGCUAACUUCGUGCCAGCAGCCGCGGUAAUACGAAGGGGGCUAGCGUUGCUCGGAAUGACAGGGCGUAAAGGGCGCGUAGGCGGUUUAUGCAGUCAGAUGUGAAAUCCCCGGGCUUAACCUGGGAACUGCAUUUGAGACGCAUAGACUAGAGGUCGAGAGAGGGUUGUGGAAUCCCCAGUGUAGAGGUGAAAUUCGUAGAUAUUGGGAAAAACACCGGUGGCGAAGGCGGCAACCUGGCUCGAUACUGACGCUGAGGCGCGAAAGCGUGGGGAGCAAACAGGAUUAGAUACCCCUGUAGUC